rnacentral:rRNA from 1 species
AAUGAACGUUAGCGGCGUGGAUUAGGCAUGCAAGUCGAGCGAGAACCGUAGCAAUACGGGGAAAGCGGCGCAAGGGACAGUAAUGUGUAGACUACCUACCUCCAGGUCCGGGAUAGCUGCGGGAAACUGCAGGUAAUACCGGAUAACAUCUCCGGAUCAAAGGUGUGAUUCCGCCAGGAGACGGGUCUGCAUCCUAUUAGCUAGUUGGCAGGGUAACGGCCUACCAAGGCGAUGAUGGGUAGCAGGUGUGAGAGCACGACCUGCGUCAUUGGGACUGAGACACUGCCCAGACACCUACGGGAGGCUG